GACGUCGGCCAGAUGGUUCGUCAUCACGUAUUUCGCUAACGUUUUUCUCAGCAGAUGCCCAAGGAUUCGUGAAGAAAGGUUAUUUGUCUGUGUAUGCAAUCAGCCACAAUCAGCAAUUGCGUGGGUUGAGACUCCCCAAGGCUCUUCGUCAUCUUCCCUCAUGCUACCAUUAACAGCUGUUUGGUUUGCUUUACAGAUGGAUUACAGAUGGAGGCUCUCACUAUCCUGGGGUUAGGAUUGAGGCCAUUGCUAGAAACAAUCUAAUCACUAAAUUUAAGAAUGAUCUACUUGAAGGGAAGGUAUAUCGGAUAUCGACUUUUAUGGUUUCAACCAACAGUGGCUUUUUCAUGGCUUCCCACAACGAGUUCAAGAUCAAUUUUGUGGAUAAAACCAAGGUCGUUCUUGAAGAAGCUCCCAUGACUCCCAUGAUUCCAUUGAACAUGUUUACCUUUAGGGAUUCAGAAGAAAUCAUAGCUACUGGUGGUGAUUAUAACUACUUGAUUGUUGGCAGACAUGAUUGGCUUGGUUACUAACGUUUCAAAGGAAAAAUAGUACAGUAAGGGUUGUGGUGUUACUAGGAUGAUUGAGAUGGAGUUGACUGAUGAUAAGUAAGAAUUUCUUUUUGGCCACCUUACUGCCUGCUUUUGUGUGUAUCAUGUUAUUUAUCUUUUAGUUAAUUCUUUAUAUUAAAAAAUUUGCAUAGGUUUUGAGGGAACAAUUAUUUGAACACUAAAUGUACUUUGUCUCCAAGUGGGUUUUCUCACAUUGAAGAUGGUAAUAAGGUAUUGAAGUAGCCUAUCGUCUCACGUUAAUUUAUCUCCUAUUGGUUUGUAUUAUAAAUUUUUUGUAUUUCAAAUUUAGUAGAGGUAUCAUACUCUGAUUUUUCUUUCUAUGUACUGGGAAUUUUAUUGUGCUUAACACCACAUGAGAGGUCUACGUUGUGAAGUUUUGUGGUUCGGAUAGAGUUCAAUACUUGUGUGAUUGGACCUUAUAAUCAUAGAAUCCCACUUGGAGAUAACAAUUAAAAUUAGUAUGGUAUGUGACCAAGUUUGUGGAGCGUAGCAAUAUAGAAAGUCUGGCUCACAAAUUCACAUCACUAUAAUUUUUUCAUCUAUGCAGCAUACUUUUAUGAUCAGCAUAUUUUCUUCCUUAUGUAAUUUCUAUAACCAACAUCGAUGAUGGUUUCACUCUUACUGCAGCUCAUUGUCUUUUUUAGCAGCCUUGGAGUUCUAUCUGCUGAAAAUUAACUUACGCCAAGUGAAUGAUUUUAGCGGUUUGCUUCUGAGAAAGAUUUAAUACUCUUUCUGUUGUAAGGCUCACUGACUUGAUAUUAGUGCUGAGUUCAAGUGUGUGACAAUUUGCUACUGUUUAGUUUUGAUCUAUAAAUCUUCUUGGAACUUGAUGGAUCAAGCAGAGAAGGAACACUUCAUGCCCUGGUUUGUUACUUUUUUAUGCAAGUUUAAUCUGUCAUCUUGUCAUAAGAUCCCCUGUUACUUUUGUCUUCCACAUAGCUUUCUAUAGCCUAUUAGUUUUUUUGUUUGAAUUCGGUCACUUAGGAGCAACAUUCUUUAUUCAUUGGCACUUUAUUUUUCUGAAUGUAAAAAGAUUUGGGUUACAAUUUUUUUCGUUCUCUCCAUGGGCUCGGAGAAUUCUCUGGCUAUGCAAUUUUUUCAUUGAGUUCGUUCCUGGCCCUUUUAAAUCUGAAUCUGAUAUUAUGUGUUCAUCAUUAAUUUUUAACCAUGAUUUGACUCUUACUUAUUUAAGCAUUGCAGCCUUAAGUGGUGGCCAUUUGAGCUGCUAACCUUGCGUCUUCUACCGAAUCCAGAGAUUGAAACUUCAGUGGCUGUGGCGAAGGUUUGAAGAGUGUUUGGCUGCACAAUUGACUGAGGCACAGUCCUCAUGCUGGUUCUUUUUUUUUUUACUUUCCUUAAACUAAGCUUGUGAGAAGCUGCCCAAGUUAACCCUAUUGAAGGAAGUCAAAUUUACAAUGCAUAUAUACAAAUUAUUUACACAGAUA